AAGUUAAACGGCCGCGGUACCCUAACCGUGCGAAGGUAGCGCAAUCACUUGUUCUUUAAAUGAGGACUAGUAUGAACGGCAUCACGAAGGUUAUACUGUCUCCUUCCUCCAAUCAGUGAAACUGACCCCCCCGUGAAGAGGCGGGGAUAAASAUAUAAGACGAGAAGACCCCAUGGAGCUUUAAACUCAGCAUCAAUUGCCCAACUCAAAUAUCAUUUUAAAUCAGCAAACCUGACAGCUAGUUUUCGGUUGGGGUGACCACGGAGCAAAACAAAACCUCCAUGAUGAAAGGACAAACCUCCUAAUCUAAGAGCUACAACUCAAAGAAUCAAUAAACUGACAUAACUUGAUCCAAUUAACUUUGAUCAACGAACCAAGUUACCCUGGGGAUAACAGCGCAAUCCACUUCAAGAGCCCCUAUCGACAAGUGGGUUUACGACCUCGAUGUUGGAUCAGGGUAUCCCAGUGGUGCAGCCGCUACUAAUGGUUCGUUUGUUCAACGAUUAA
rnacentral:rRNA from 1 species